CCUACGGGUGACAGCAGUGAGGAAUAUUGGUCAAUGGACGCAAGUCUGAACCAGCCAAGUAGCGUGCAGGAUGACGGCCCUCCGGGUUGUAAACUGCUUUUAGUUGGGAAUAAAAGGGGGCUCGUGAGCCCCGUAUUGUAUGUACCAUCAGAAAAAGGACCGGCUAAUUCCGUGCCAGCAGCCGCGGUAAUACGGAAGGUCCGGGCGUUAUCCGGAUUUAUUGGGUUUAAAGGGGGCGUAGGUGGUUAAUUAAGUCAGCGGUGAAAGUUUGUGGCUCAACCAUAAAAUUGCCGUUGAACCUUGUGGACUUUAGUAUAUUUGAGAUAGGCGGAAUGCGUGGUGUAGCGGUGACAUGCAUAGAUAUCACGCAGAACUCCGAUUGCGAAGGCAGCUUACUAAACUAUAACUGACACUGAAGCACGAGAGCGUGGGGAUCAAACAGGAUUAGAGACCCGUGUAGUC
rnacentral:rRNA from 1 species